rnacentral:rRNA from 1 species
UACGAAGGGGGCUAGCGUUGUUCGGAUUUACUGGGCGUAAAGCGCACGUAGGCGGAUCGUUAAGUCGGGGGUGAAAUCCUGGAGCUCAACUCCAGAACUGCCUUCGAUACUGGCGAUCUCGAGUCCGGAAGAGGUGAGUGGAACUCCUAGUGUAGAGGUGGAAUUCGUAGAUAUUAGGAAGAACACCAGUGGCGAAGGCGACUCACUGGUCCGGUACUGACGCUGAGGUGCGAAAGCGAGGGGAGCAAACGGG